rnacentral:rRNA from 1 species
GGAGCAUGUGGUUUAAUUCGAUGCAACGCGAAGAACCUUACCUACUCUUGACAUCCAGAGAACUUUCCAGAGAUGGAUUGGUGCCUUCGGGAACUCUGAGACAGGUGCUGCAUGGCUGUCGUCAGCUCGUGUUGUGAAAUGUUGGGUUAAGUCCCGCAACGAGCGCAACCCUUAUCCUUUGUUGCCAGCGGUCCGGCCGGGAACUCAAAGGAGACUGCCAGUGAUAAACUGGAGGAAGGUGGGAUGACGUCAAGUCAUCAUGGCCCUUACGAGUAGGGCUACACACGUGCUACAAUGGCGCAUACAAAGAGAAGCGAACUCGCGAGAGCAAGCGGACCUCAUAAAGUGCGUCGUAGUCCGGAUUGGAGUCUGCAACUCGACUCCAUGAAGUCGGAAUCGCUAGUAAUCGUAGAUCAGAAUGCUACGGUGAAUACGUUCCCGGGCCUU